GUCCCUGUAGCGCAAUGGAGACCGCGUUGGACUUCUAAUUCAAAGGUCGUGGGUUCGAAUCCCACCUGGGAUG
rnacentral:tRNA from 1 species